GAGUGUUGCACGGGUGAGUAACACGUAGGUAAUCUACCUUCGGGUGGGGAAUAACCCAGGGAAACUUGGGCUAACACCGCAUAAUGCAGCGGCACCACAUGGUGACAGUUGUUAAAGCGGGGGAUUUCCGAACCUCGCGCCUGAAGAGGAGCCUGCGGCGGAUUAGCUAGUUGGUAAGGUAAACGGUUACCAAGGCAACGAUCCGUACCGGCCUGAGAAGGCGGUCGGCCAACCUGACACUGACAUACGGGUCAAAACUCCUACGGGAGGCAGCAGUCGGGAAUUUUGGGCAAUGGGCGAAAGCCUGACCCAGCAACGCCGCGUGAAGGAUGAAAUCCCUCGGGAUGUAAACUUCGCAAGAAUGGGAAGAAUUAAUAGGGGACAAUACCCCCUAUGAUGACGGUACCAUUUGUAAGCUCCGGCUAACUCCGUGCCAGCAGCCGCGGUAAUACGGGGGGAGCAAGCGUUGUUCGGAUUUA
rnacentral:rRNA from 1 species